GUGCUUGCUUCAGCAGCACAUAUACUAAAAUUGGAACAAUGUACAGAAGAUUAACAUGGCCCUUGUGCAAGGAUGACAUGCAAAUUUGUGAAGCAUUCCAUAUUAAA